GAUCAUGGCUCAGGAUGAACGCUGGCGGCGUGCCUAAUACAUGCAAGUCGAACGCACAGCGAAAGGUGCUUGCACCUUUCAAGUGAGUGGCGAACGGGUGAGUAACACGUGGAUAACCUACCUUAAGGUUGGGGAUAACAUUUGGAAACAGAUGCUAAUACCGAAUAAAACUUAGUAUCGCAUGAUACCAGGUUAAAAGGCGCUACGGCGUCACCUAGAGAUGGAUCCGCGGUGCAUUAGUUAGUUGGUGGGGUAAAGGCUUACCAAGACAAUGAUGCAUAGCCGAGUUGAGAGACUGAUCGGCCACAUUGGGACUGAGACACGGCCCAAACUCCUACGGGAGGCUGCAGUAGGGAAUCUUCCACAAUGGGCGAAAGCCUGAUGGAGCAACGCCGCGUGUGUGAUAAAGGCUUUCGGGUCGUAAAGCACUGUUGUAUGGGAAGAACAGCUAGAGUAGGGAAUGACUUUAGUUUGACGGUACCAUACCAGAAAGGGACGGCUAAAUACGUG
rnacentral:rRNA from 1 species